GCCUAUGAGACUGGGAUAACUCCGGGAAACCGGGGCUAAUACCGGAUAAUUCUUUUCUACACAUGUAGAAAAGCUGAAAGAUGGUUUCGGCUAUCACUCAUAGAUGGGCCCGCGGCGCAUUAGCUAGUUGGUGAGGUAACGGCUCACCAAGGCGACGAUGCGUAGCCGACCUGAGAGGGUGAUCGGCCACACUGGGACUGAGACACGG
rnacentral:rRNA from 1 species